UCAGGCCUAACACAUGCAAGUCAAACGACAAAUUUUUUUGUAGUGGCGGACGGGUGAGUAACACGUAAGAACCUGCCUUUAGGAGGGGGAUACCAUCUGGAAACUGGUGCUAAUACCCCAUAUGCUGAGAAGUGAAAAGGUAUUUAACCGCCUAGAGAGGGGCUUGCGGCUGAUUAGCUAGUUGGUAGGGUAAUGGCCUCCCAAGGCGACGAUCAGUAGCUGGUUUGAGAGGAUGAUCAGCCACACUGGGACUGAGACACGGCCCAGACUCCUACGGGAGGCAGCAGUGAGGAAUUUUCCGCAAAGGGCGAAAGCCUGACGGAGCAAUACCGCGGGAGGUAUGAGGGGACCUGUGGGUUGUAAACUCCUUUCUCAGAGAAGAA
rnacentral:rRNA from 1 species